CCGGAGAGCCCGCCCCGGCCCCCUUCCUGCCCCCUCUUCCCGCCAGCCCGCCUGGAGCACCAGCCUCGCGCGUCCGGAGGAACCUUGGCUUGGCGCCCCAUCCUGGUAGCCUCAAACUUCAUAGCACUUUGUGGUUUUUCUUAAAACUCUGAGCCUGUGCCCGGGCGGAUCACCUGAGGUCGGGAGUUCAAGACCAGACUGACCAACAUGGUGAAACCCCGUCUCUACUAAAAAUACAAAAUUAGCCCGGCGUGGUGGCGCAUGCCUGUGAUCCCAGCUACCUGGGAGGCUGAGGCAAGAGAAUCGCUUGAACCUGGGAGGUGUAGGUUGCAGUGAGCCGAGAUCAUGCCAUUGUACUCCAGCCUGGGCGACAGAGUGAGACUCCGUCUCAAAAACAAACAAGCAAACAAACAACUUUGGGCCUGUGCCGAAGGGUCUGGGCAGAUCUUCCAAAGAUGUACAAAAUGUAGAAAUUGCCCUCAAGCAAAUGCAAAGAUGCUCAACACCCUUAGUCAUCAAGGAAAUGCAAAUGGAAUCCACAGAGAGAUACUGCACACUGACAAAGAUGGUCGUAUUACUAAAGGUGAAUAACCAGCGCGGGGGGCACGUGGAGUCACUGGAACAUUUGUGCAAUGCUGGUGGGAAUGUCAACCCGUGCGGCCCUCUGGAAUAAGCCUGGCAGCUCCUCCAAGAGUUACCGUGUGACCCAGCAAUUCCACUCCUAGCUCCACCCACAGGAAUUGAAAGCAAAGACGCAAACAGAUGCCUGUGCACCAAAGUUCACGGCAGCAUCCUUCGCCAUAGUGGCAGCAUCCGUCGUCACAGCGGCAUCAUCCUUCAUCAUAGCGGCAGCAUCCGUCGUCACAGCGGCAGCAUCCUUCGCCACAGCGGCAGCAUCCUUCGCCAUAGCGGCAGCAUCCUUCGCCAUAGCGGCAAGGUGGAAACCCUGUCCAUCCACUGAGGCGUGCAUAGACUAAACAUGGCCAGUCCAGGCACUGGAAUCCAGGCCGUAGAACGGCGCCCACGGUCAAAAGGAAUGAGACCCUGAUGCACUGGGCGACACAGACGGGCGACACAGACUUGGAGACAUCAUGCUAAGUGAAAAGCCAGGCACACGGAGCGGACGGCGUGAUCCUGCUCACGUGAUGUGUCCCGAAUGGGCACGUCCAGAGGGAAGAAGGGAGAUGGCGCUGCCGGUGCCCGGGACGGGGGUUGGGAGCGACGGUUGCUGGUUUGGGGUUUCUUUCUGGGGUGAGGAAGUGUUUUGAUAUUGGCCGUUGGUGAUGUUUGCAUACCUCUGAAUAUGCUAAGACCCACAGAAUUGCACACUUUAAAUGGAUGAAUUGUAUGGUAUGGGAAUUACACAAUUAUGUCUCAUUAAAGCAGUUAUUUUAAAAAUCUAGUGCCCAGUAGCAACACCUAGUCUCGGCACAGGCUCCCUCAGUGCCCUACUGACCUAAGUCAUGGUGGGCCCAGGGCCAUGGGCCCACCCCUGCACACGGUAGUCCUCCCACCCGGCCCUCCCAGCCGCUCCGCGGUUGUGGAUGGGGCUACUUGGGCUUCGGCCCC
rnacentral:lncRNA from 1 species